rnacentral:piRNA from 1 species
CUAGGUCCAAAGAGCUGCAGGAG